GUCUUCUUCGUAGCCUACCCCCUUUCUAGAAUGCAACAGGUAUAUUGGUGACGUGGUGUAAUCAAUCAAUCAGAAAUCUCCUAUUAAAAAUAUAUAUUCCAUCAUGAUUAUAAAAAAAUAAUUUUAUUAUAUUUUUGUUUGAAAAGAAGAAAAGUAAUUGGCUUGUCAUUGAUAAUGUGAUACAAGUGUGAUAGUGUAGAAUUCCUCCUC
rnacentral:lncRNA from 1 species